GUAUUUGUGGAAGAAGGAAUUCUUGGUGCUACCGCAGACUAUGUUGCUAAGAGCAGAAGGAAUCAUUCGCUGCUUAAGGAGGCCUGAUCAUUGCUGUGCCGGUUAAUUCUCGGGACAUGUCUGCUCCUGGUAGCACCAAUCUACUUCAGAGAAGGUAAGGGCAUUGAAGAACUUCCACAUGGAAUUAACUUUCACUGUGGCAAAAGUUAGCCACUGGGCAAGAAAGUACCUUCACAUUAACUGCCAAGAGUAUGCUGUCCAAAAUGGACAACCAGGACACAAAACAAAGGACUACCAAUCCAAGACAAGUGUGGUUGCAGCUUUGGCAACAGACAUCCUCUGAGGCCAGGACAAUAUGGCACCAUCGCUGAAGUGGCUUUGCAAUCCAGAAAAGGUACAGUGCCCCUUCCUUCAAAGGCAGCUGAGCAUGCAGUGGGCCGAUGGCUCCUGGUGUGCAGUGGAACAGUAGCUGGAACAGUUAUUCUUGGAGGAGUAACUAGGCUGACGGAGUCUGGCCUCUUAAUGGUAGACUGGCAUUUAAUAAAGGAGAUGAAGCUAUCUAUAAGCCGAGAAGAAUGGACAGCCAAAUCCCAAAAACACCAGCAAUUUCUGGAAUUUAAAAUCCCGAAUCAUGACAUGAUACUGGCAGAAUUCAAGUUUAUCUGGUACAUGGAAUAUUCACACCGAAUGUGGAAUUGAGCUGUAGGCCUUGCGUAUAUCCUGCUUCAUAAAUGAGUCUGUUAGAUAUGCUAUGCCUGUAGGCCGAAGACGAUGCCCCAGUGUUGCAGAGAAACCUGGGGUGACUGUCCAGGCAGCUGGUUGUUUCUGUCAUAACUCACAUUUUUUGGAAGCCACUUGUUUGUACUUCCUGUUUUACUAGAGCCACAAGAUGCCCAAAUAUCUGGUUGAGAUUAGCAUUUAAACCGGUAGACUGAACAACACAGAUCACGUCAGAGUGUCAAAUCCAAUCCACUGAAGGUCUGAGCAGAACAAGAAAAAAUUCUCCAGCCUUCAAAUAACGACAUUGUUCUUCUUGGAUAUCUACAGCAUCUUCCAGCUCUCAGACUUGGCCUGGGAUACCUGCUUUACAGACUCACAUCAUACUCCAUAGUUUCAGGGUGUGUGUGUGUGUGUGUGUGUGUGUGUGUGUGUGUGUGUGUGUGCGUGUGCACAAGCUCACGAGCUAUUGGUCUAUUCUGAAGAACGUUCAUUAAUAAUCUGUUUACCCUAACUCUUAAUACCAUUUUUCUAGCUCAUUUUUAUUAGAGCUCAACAAAUUCUACAAAAUUAUCUAUUAAAAAGCGAUAUAUACAUCUUUAAUUGUUGUUACACAUAUAUUAUGUAACAACAAUAUAUAAGAAGAGACCAUGAAUUUGAAAGAGAGCAAGGCAGGAAGUACUAAGGAGGGUUUGAAUGGAGGAAAGGGAAGGGGGAAAUGAUGUAAUUAUAAUCUCAAAAAAUAAAUAAUGUUAUUUAAAAAUUGAUAUUUAUCUGUAAUGCUUAUAUUUCCUUAGCAUAAAUUUCUCUGCAGCUGGUAUGUUCAGCAUGGGGAUAGGACAUUGACUUACUUCUUUCCAAAGAAAUAACAAAAGGGACUGAUAGUGCAAAAUGUAACUCAUGGGCCUCCUUUUAGAUUGCAUGUAUGUAUAUGUAUAUACUUACAUAUGUACAUACAAUACAUAUAUGUAUUAAAUAAACACAUAUGCCUACUGCC